rnacentral:rRNA from 1 species
UCCUGGCUUAGGAUGAACGCUAGCUACAGGCUUAACACAUGCAAGUCGAGGGGCAGCAUUGAGAUAGCUUGCUAUUCAGAUGGCGACCGGCGCACGGGUGAGUAACGCGUAUCCAACUUCCCCUUAGUAGGGCAUAGCCCGUAGAAAUGCGGAUUAAUACCCUAUGUUGUGUAUUGAGGACAUCUGAUUUAUACCAAAGGUUUACCGCUAAGGGAUGGGGAUGCGUCUGAUUAGGUUGUUGGCGGGGUAACGGCCCACCAAGCCUACGAUCAGUAGGGGUUCUGAGAGGAAGGUCCCCCACAUUGGAACUGAGACACGGUCCAAACUCCUACGGGAGGCAGCAGUGAGGAUAUUGGUCAAUGGACGAGAGUCUGAACCAGACCCAAGUAGCGUGCAGGAUGACGGCCCUAUGGGUUGUAAACUGCUUUUAUACGGGGAUAAAGUGAGGGACGUGUCCCUUUUUGUAGGUACCGUAUGAAUAAGGACCGGCUAAUUCCGUGCCAGCCGCGGC